rfam:Callithrix jacchus chromosome 5, whole genome shotgun sequence
GCCAGGCGCAGUGGCAUGUGCCUAUAGUCCCAGCUACUCGGGAGGCUGAGGUGGGAGGAUCACUUGAGCCCAGGAGUUCUGGGCUGUAGUGCGUUAUGCCAAUUGAGUGUCCACACUAAGUUUGGGAUCAAUAUGGUGACCUCCCAGGAUCGGGGGACCAACAGGUUGCCUAAGGAGGGGUGAACCAGCCUAGGUCGGAAACGGAGCAGGUCAAAACUCCCAUGCUGAUCAGUAAUGGUAUCAUGCCUGUGAACAGCCACUGCACUCCAGCCUGGGCAACACAGCGAGACCCCAUCCCCC